rnacentral:tRNA from 1 species
GGGUCGGUUCCAGAGCGGUCAAAUGGGGCGGACUGUAAAUCCGUUAGCUUUGCUUUCGCUGGUUCGAAUCCAGCCCGGCCCACCA